rnacentral:rRNA from 1 species
GAUGAACGCUGGCGGCGUGCCUAACACAUGCAAGUCGAACGAAGCACUUAUGAUUGAACCUUCGGGUGAUUUUAUAUUUGACUGAGUGGCGGACGGGUGAGUAACGCGUGGGUAACCUGCCUUACACAGGGGGAUAACAGUUAGAAAUGACUGCUAAUACCGCAUAAGCGCACGAGACCGCAUGGUCUUGUGUGAAAAGUUUUUCGGUGUAAGAUGGACCCGCGUCUGAUUAGCCUGUUGGCGGGGUAACGGCCCACCAAGGCGACGAUCAGUAGCCGGCCUGAGAGGGUGGACGGCCACAUUGGGACUGAGACACGGGCCCAAACUCCUACGGG